GAGAUAUGAUGAGCAAUUUAUUGGUCCGUGUUUCUGAAUUUUCAGUGAUCGACAAACUAUUAACCAAACUCUGAUCUC